rfam:Solanum tuberosum cultivar DM 1-3 516 R44 scf00193_73, whole genome shotgun sequence.
AUUCCAUUAUGUGGACACUUCCUCAACAAUUCCUUGAAUCUUUCCCAUGCUUCAAACACCGUUUCUGAUUCUAGUUGACUGAAAUUGCUGAUCUCCUUCCUCAUUCU